AUGUAUGCUACAACAGCAGCAAGAAUACUCAUUGCAAAGUAUUGGAAGACACAAGAUCUACCCACUUUGGAAGAAUGGCAGAUGAAGGUGAUGGACUAUAUGGAACUGGCAGAAAUGACUGGCAGAAUCCGAGACCAGGGAGAAGAGUCGGUGGAAGAAGAUUGGAAGAAAUUUAAAGACUAUUUACAGAAAUAUUGUAAAAUUAAUGAAUGAUAGAAUGAUGUUGGAUAGUAAUUAAGCGGUUUCCAGCUGUAAUGCUUUAAGAGAAUAUGAAAAAAGGGUUAUAAAUGGGUUAAAAUCUAAUGGUAAGGAUUUGCUGAACCAAUAAAUUGAAGUGGAAUACAAAAAAAGG
rnacentral:lncRNA from 1 species